GCUGCUAAGAUUAUUCUAGAGUGAAACACUAGGGUUUUGGGGUUAAAACUUUCAAAUCUAAAGCUUUUAUAAAUGCUUGGGAAGUAAGUUUUGUGUGAUUUUGGUGUUCGAGGUAUAGAUCGAGGUUCUAAGCUAUCCAAGGUGUUUAAUUCCUUUGAAACAUAAAGUUUUCGGAGUUCCCAAUCCCGCUCUUGUCUCCAAUAUUCCAGUUUUUGAAAAUUAAGGAUAGAAAGGCCGGUGGCGAGUGGAACCUAAGACCUUCGUGAUGUACUCGUGGGGACCAUAUAGUCGAGGAAGAUCAAGCGGGCCAAUUUAUUUAUUUUUAUUAAAGAAAUGUUAUUUUAAAGUUUUAUUUAAAUGUUGCUCAUUUUUAUGUUAAAGACAAUUAUUAUUAAAACCAUGGAUCCAUGUAUGUAAUUAUUUUCAAGUUUUUUAUUCAAUAAAAGAGCAAUAUUUA